rnacentral:rRNA from 1 species
UACGUAGGCAGCGAGCGUUGUUCGGAGUUACUGGGCGUAAAGGGUGUGUAGGCGGUUGUUUAAGUUUGGUGUGAAAUCUCCCGGCUCAACUGGGGGGGUGCGCCGAAUACUGAAUGACUUCGAGUGCGGGAGAGGAAAGUGGAAUUCCUGGUGUAGCGGUGAAAUGCGUAGAUAUCGAGAGGAACACCAGAGGUGAAGACGGGUUGCUGGGCCGACACUGACGCUGAUAGCGCGAAAGCCAGGGGAGCAAACGGG